AUGAUAACUCUCAUUCCUAAAGAGGAAGAUGCUACUGAUAUGAAGAAAUUUAGACCUAUUAGUUUGCUGAAUUGUAUUUUUAAGGUUUUUACCAAGGUUUUUACUAAUAGGCUUGCUACUCUCAUGAAUUUCCUAACUUCUAGCAACCAGUCAGCUUUCAUAAAAGGGAGAUUCAUCCUUGAAAGUGUAGUGACAACUCAUGAAAUUUUACAUUCUACUUUCCACUCUGAUAAUUCAGGACUGGUACUAAAAUUAGAUUAUGAGAAAGCAUUUGAUAAAGUUAACCUAGAAUUCUUGAUGGAGAUUCUCCAAAAAAGAAACUUUGGUCCUGUUUGGACCAAAUGGAUUUAUCAAAUUACCCACAUGAGCUCUGUGGGAGUCAAGGUCAAUGGGGUUGAUAGUGACUUCUUUGUAACCAACAAAGGACUAAGACAAGGAGACCCUAUAUCUCCUUUACUUUUUAACAUUGUUGUAGAUGUGCUAACUAGAAUGCUCAUUAAAGCAGCUUCUCAUAACCUGAUAAAAGGGCUUUGUUCUAAUCUUAUCCCUGGUGGAGUGAUAUGUCUGCAAUAUGCAGAUGAUACUAUCCUCUUCAUGGAUAAAGAUGAAUCUAAAGCUGCUAACCUGAAAAUGAUUUUGACUUGCUUUGAGAGAGUAUCAGGUAUGAGAAUCAACUAUGCUAAAAGUGAACUCAUUCCUUUAGGAGUUGAGGGGGAAAGACUAACCAACUUCAUGAAUACUUUUGGAUGUACUGUUGGUACAUUUCCAAUAAAGUAUCUAGGGAUUCCUUUACACUAUGACAAGCUGAGGAGGGAAGACAUCCAACCUCUUAUUGAUAAGAUCUUAAAGAGGAUGGCUGGCUGGAGGGGGAAGCUACUGUCCUACUCUGCUAGGCUAACUCUCAUUAAAGCUUGUUUAGCUAGUAUCCCCAUAUACCUGCUGUCCUUCUUUAAGUUCCCUAAAUGGGCCCUAAAUUUGAUUAACAGUCAACUAGCUCAUUGCCUUUGGAGUGACUUUGAGGGGAACAGGAAAUUCACCUGGCCAACUGGCACCUAG
rnacentral:rRNA from 1 species